rfam:Streptomyces natalensis ATCC 27448 Scaffold_35, whole genome shotgun sequence.
CUUCACGGCGCCGAGCAGCAGCGGCCGGUCCGUCGGCCGGUCCUGUCCGUAGGCGGCGAUGAGGGCGUGCGCCUC